rnacentral:rRNA from 1 species
AGUGAACGCUGGCGGUAGGCCUAACACAUGCAAGUCGAACGGCAGCACAGUAAGAGCUUGCUCUUACGGGUGGCGAGUGGCGGACGGGUGAGGAAUACAUCGGAAUCUACUUUUUCGUGGGGGAUAACGUAGGGAAACUUACGCUAAUACCGCAUACGACCUACGGGUGAAAGCAAGGGAUCUUCGGACCUUGCGCGAUUGAAUGAGCCGAUGUCGGAUUAGCUAGUUGGCGGGGUGAAGGCCCACCAAGGCGACGAUCCGUAGCUGGUCUGAGAGGAUGAUCAGCCACACUGGAACUGAGACACGGUCCAGACUCCUACGGGAGGCAGCAGUGGGGAAUAUUGGACAAUGGGCGCAAGCCUGAUCCAGCCAUACCGCGUGGGUGAAGAAGGCCUUCGGGUUGUAAAGCCCUUUUGUUGGGAAAGAAAAGCAGCAGGUUAAUACCCCGCUGUUCUGACGGUACCCAAAGAAUAAGCACCGGCUAACUUCGUG